rnacentral:rRNA from 1 species
GAUGAACGCUGGCGGCGUGCCUAAUACAUGCAAGUCGAGCGAACAGACGAGGAGCUUGCUCCUCUGACGUUAGCGGCGGACGGGUGAGUAACACGUGGAUAACCUACCUAUAAGACUGGGAUAACUUCGGGAAACCGGGGCUAAUACCGGAUAAUAUAUUGAACCGCAUGGUUCAAUAGUGAAAGACGGUUUUGCUGUCACUUAUAGAUGGAUCCGCGCCGCAUUAGCUAGUUGGUAAGGUAACGGCUUACCAAGGCGACGAUGCGUAGCCGACCUGAGAGGGUGAUCGGCCACACUGGAACUGAGACACGGUCCAGACUCCUACGGGAGGCAGCAGUAGGGAAUCUUCCGCAAUGGGCGAAAGCCUGACGGAGCAACGCCGCGUGAGUGAUGAAGGUCUUCGGAUUGUAAAACUCUGUUAUUAGGGAAGAACAAAUGUGUAAGUAACUAUGCACGUCUUGACGGUACCUAAUCAGAAAGCCACGGCUAACUACGUG